rnacentral:rRNA from 1 species
GACGAACGCUGGCGGCGUGCCUAAUACAUGCAAGUUGAGCGCUGAAGGUUGGUACUUGUACCAACUGGAUGAGCAGCGAACGGGUGAGUAACGCGUGGGGAAUCUGCCUUUGAGCGGGGGACAACAUUUGGAAACGAAUGCUAAUACCGCAUAAAAACUUUAAACACAAGUUUUAAGUUUGAAAGAUGCAAUUGCAUCACUCAAAGAUGAUCCCGCGUUGUAUUAGCUAGUUGGUGAGGUAAAGGCUCACCAAGGCGAUGAUACAUAGCCGACCUGAGAGGGUGGUCGGCCACAUUGGGAAUGAGACACGGCCCAAACUCCUACGGGAGGCAGCAGUAGGGAAUCUUCGGCAAUGGACGAAAGUCUGACCGAGCAACGCCGCGGGAGUGAAGAAGGUUUUCGGAUCGUAAAACUCUGUUGGUAGAGAAGAACGUUGGUGAGAGUGGAAAGCUCAUCAAGUGACGGUAACUACCCAGAAAGGGACGGCUAACUACGUG